GACUAAAACGCCGUUCUUCGGUACUAUGGAGAGAGCAACAGAUUUGUUGGAAAUCAUACAUACAGAUGUAUGUGGUCCGAUGAAUAUUGAGGCUCGUGGCGGAUAUCGUUAUUUUCUCACCUUCACAGAUGACUUAAGCAGAUAUGGGUAUAUCUACUUAAUGAAACAUAAGUCUGAAACGUUUGAAAAGUUCAAAGAAUUCCAGAGUGAAGUUGAAAAUCAUCGUAACAAGAAAAUAAAGUUUCUACGAUCUAAUCGUGGAGGAGAAUAUUUGAGUUACGAGUUUGGUAUACAUUUGAAACAAUGCGGAAUAGUUUCGCAACUCACGCCACCCGGAACACCACAGCGUAAUGGUGUGUCCGAACGUCGUAAUCGUACUUUACUAGAUAUGGUGCGAUCUAUGAUGUCUCUUACUGAUUUACCGCUAUCAUUUUGGGGUUAUGCUUUGGAUACGGCCGCAUUCACGUUAAAUAGGGCACCAUCAAAAUCCGUUGAGACGACGCCUUAUGAACUAUGGUUUGGCAAGAAACCAAAGUUGUCAUUUCUGAAAGUUUGGGGCUGCGAUGCUUAUGUGAAAAAGCUUCAACCUGAUAAGCUCGAACCCAAAUCAGAGAAAUGUGUCUUCAUAGGAUAUCCAAAGGAGACUAUUGGAUACACCUUCUAUCACAGAUCCGAAGGCAAGACUUUUGUUGCUAAGUUCGGAAACUUUCUGGAGAAGGAGUUUCUCUCGAAAGAAGUGAGUGGGAGGAAAGUAGAACUUGACGAGGUAACUGUACCUGCUCCCUUAUUGGAAAGUAGUGCAUCACAGAAAACUGUUUCUGUGACACCUACACCAAUUAGUGAGGAAGCUAAUGAUAAUGAUCAUGAAACUUCAGAACAAGAUACUACUGAACCUCAUAGAUCAACCAGAGUGAGAUCCGCACCAGAGUGGUACGGUAAUCCUGUUCUGGAAGUCAUGCUAUGAGAUCAUGAUGAACCUACAAACUAUGAAGAAGCGAUGGUGAGCCCAGAUUCCGCAAAAUGGCUUGAAGCCAUGAAAUCUGAGAUGGGAUCCAUGUAUGAGAACAAAGUGUGGACUUUGGUUGAAUUGCCCAAUGAUCGGCAAGCAAUUGAGAAUAAAUGGAUCUUCAAGAAGAAGACUGAUGCUGACGGUAAUAUUACUGUCUACAAAGCUCGACUUGUCGCAAAAGGGUCUCGGCAAGUUCAAGGGAUUGACUACGAUGAGACCUUCUCACCCGUAGCGAUGCUUAAGUCUGUCCGAAUCAUGUUAGCAAUUGCCGCAUUUUAUGAUUAUGAAAUUUGGCAGAUGGAUGUCAAAACUGCAUUCCUGAAUGGAUUUCUGGAAGAAGAGUUGUAUAUGAUGCAACCAGAAGGUUUUGUCGAUCCAAAGGGAGCUAACAAAGUGUGCAAGCUCCAGCGAUCCAUUUAUGGACUGGUGCAAGCCUCUCGGAGUUGGAAUAAACGCUUUGAUAGUGUGAUCAAAGCAUUUGGUUUUAUACAGACUUUUGGAGAAGCCUAUAUUUACAAGAAAGUGAGUGGGAGCUCUGUAGCAUUUCUGAUAUUAUAUGUGGAUGACAUAUUACUGAUUGGAAAUGAUAUAGAAUUUCUGGAUAGCAUAAAGGGACACUUGAAUAAGAGUUUUUCAAUGAAAGACAUCGGUGAAGUUGCUUACAUAUUAGGCAUAAAGAUCUAUAGAGAUAGAUCAAGACGUUUAAUUGAACUUUCACAAAGCACAUACCUUGACAAGAUUUUGAAGAAGUUCAAAAUGGAUCAAGCAAAGAAAGGGUUCUAGCCUGUGUUAUAAGGUGUGAAGUUGAGUCAGACUCAAUGCCCGACCACUGCAGAAGAUAGAGAGAAAAUGAAAGAUGUUCCCUAUGCUUCAGCCAUAGGCUCUAUCAUGUAUGCAAUGCUGUGUACCAAACCUGAUGUGUGCCUUGCUAUAAGUCUAGCAGGGAGGUACCAAAGUAAUCGAGGAGUGGAUCACUGGACAGCGGUCAAGAACAUCCUGAAGUACCUGAAAAGGACUAAGGAUAUGUUUCUCGUAUAUGGAGGUGACAAAGAGCUAAUCGUAAAUGGUUACGUUGAUGCAAGCUUUGACACUGAUCCGGACGAUUCUAAAUCGCAAACUGGAUACGUGUUUACAUUAAACGGUGGAGCUGUCAGUUGGUGCAGUUCUAAACAGAGCGUCGUGGUGGGAUCUACGUGUGAAGCGCAAUACAAAGCUGCUUCGGAAGCAGCGAAUGAAGGAGUCUGGAUGAAGGAGUUCAUAUCCGAUCUAGGUGUCAUACCUAGUGCAUCGGGUCCAAUGAAAAUCUUUUGUGACAAUACUGGUGCAAUUGCCUUGCUGAAGGAAUCCAGAUUUCACAAGAGAACCAAGCACAUCAAGAGACGCUUCAAUUCCAUCCGGGAUCUAGUCCAGGUGGGAGACAUAGAGAUUUGCAAGAUACAUACGGAUUUGAAUGUUGCAGACCCGUUGACUAAGCCUCUUCCACGAGCAAAACAUGAUCAGCACCAAGGCUCCAUGGGUGUUAGAAUCAUUACUGUGUAAUCUAGAUUAUUGACUCUAGUGCAAGUGGGAGACUGAAGGAAAUAUGCCCUAGAGGCAAUAAUAAAGUUAUUAUUUAUUUCCUUUUAUCAUGAUAAAAGUUUAUUAUUCAUGCUAGAAUUGUAUUAACCGGAAACAUAAUACAUGUGUGAAUACAUAGACAAACAGAGUGUCACUAGUAUGCCUCUACUUGACUAGCUCGUUAAUCAAAGAUGGUUAUGUUUCCUAACCAUGGACAUAGAGUUGUUAUUUGAUUAACGGGAUCACAUCAUUAGUUGAAUGAUCUGAUUGACAUGACCCAUUCCAUUAGCUUAGCACCCGAUCGUUUAGUAUGUUGCUAUUGCUUUCUUCAUGACUUAUACAUGUUCCUAUGACUAUGAGAUUAUGCAACUCCCGUUUGCCAGAGGAACACUUUGUGUGCUACCAAACGUCACAACGUAACUGGGUGAUUAUAAAGGAGCUCUACAGGUGUCUCCAAAGGACCAUGUUGGGUUGGCAUAUUUCGAGAUUAGGAUUUGUCACUCCGAUUGUCGGAGAGGUAUCUCUGGGCCCUCUCGGUAAUGCACAUCACUUAAGCCUUGCAAGCAUUGCAACUAAUGAGUUAGUUGCGGGAUGAUGUAUUACAGAACGAGUAAAGAGACUUGCCGGUAACGAGAUUAAACUAGGUAUAGGAUACCGACGAUCGAAUCUCGGGCAAGUAACAUACCGAUGACAAAGGGAACAACGUAUGUUGUUAUGCGGUCUGACCGAUAAAAGAUCUUCGUAGAAUAUGGAGGAACAAAUAUGGGCAUCCAGGUCCCGCUAUUGGUUAUUGACCGGAGACGUGUCUCGGUCAUGUCUACAUUGUUCUCGAACCCGUAGGGUCCGCACGCUUAAGGUUUCGAUGACAGUUAUAUUAUGAGUUUAUGUGUUUUGAUGUACCGAAGGUUGUUCGGAGUCCCGGAUGUGAUCACGGACAUGACGAGGAGUCUCGAAAUGGUCGAGACAUAAAUAUUGAUAUAUUGGAAGCCUAUGUUUGGAUAUCGGAAGUGUUCCGGGUGAAAUCGGGAUUUUACCGGAUUACCGGGAGGUUACCGGAACCCCCCGGGAGGUAUAUGGGCCUUAGUGGGCCUUAGUGGAAGAGAGGAGAGGUGUCCAGAGAUGGGCCGCGCGCCCCUCCCCCCCUUGGUCCGAAUAGGACAAGGAGAGGGGGCCGGCCCCCCUUCCUCCUCUCUCUCCUCUUUCCCCCCCUCCGCGAAUCCUAUUCCAACUAGGAAAGGGGGGAGUCCUACUCCCGGAGGGAGUAGGACUCCUCCUGGCGUGCCUCCUCUUGGCCGCCCCCCCCCCUUUGAGCAUUUAUAUACGGAGGCAGGGGCACCCCCUAGAGACACAAGUUGAUCCACGUGAUCAUAUUCUUAGCCGUGUGCGGUGCCCCCUUCCACCAUAGUCCUCGAUAAUAUUGUAGCGGUGCUUAGGCGAAGCCCUGCGACAGCAGUACAUCAAGACCGUCACCACGCCGUCGUGCUGACGGAACUCUUCCUCGACACUUUGUUGGAUCGAAGUCCAGGGAUCGUCAUCGAGCUGAACGUGUGCUAGAACUCGGAGGUGCCGUAGUUUCGGUGCUUGAUCGGUCGAGCCGUGGAGACGUACGACUACAUCAACCAAGUUAACGCUUCCAUUGUCGAUCUACAAGGGUACGUAGAUCACACUCUCCCCCUCUUGUUGCUAUGCAUCACCAUGAUCUUUGUGUGCGUAGGAAUUUUUUUGAAAUUACUAUGAAACCCAACAGAUCGGACAUGUUUUAGUUGAUUUGGAUCACAUAAUCACUUAGAGGAUUAGAGGGAUGUCUAUCUAAGUGGGAGUUCUUUAAGUAAUAUGAUUAAUUGAACCUAAAUUUAUCACGAACUUAGUACCUGAUAGUAUCUUGCUUGUUUAUGUAUGAUUGUAGAUAAAUGGCCCGUGUUGUUGUUCCGUUGAAUUUUAAUGUGUUCCUUGAGAAAGCAAAGUUGAAAGAUGAUGGUAGCAAUUACACGGACUGGGUCCGUAACUUGAGGAUUAUCCUCAUUGCUGCACAUAAGAAUUACGUCCUGGAAGCACCGCUGGGUGCCAGGCCUGCUGCUGGAGCAACACCAGAUGUUGUGAACGUCUGGCAUAGCAAAGCUGAUGACUACUCGAUAGUUCAGUGUGCCAUGCUUUACGGCUUAGAACCGGGACUUCAACGACAUUUUGAACGUCAUGGAGCAUAUGAGAUGUUCCAGGAGUUGAAGUUAAUAUUUCAAGCAAUGCCCGGAUUGAGAGAUAUGAAGUCUCCAAUAAGUUCUAUAGCUGCAAGAUGGAGGAGAACAGUUCUGUCAGUGAGCAUAUACUCAAAAUGUCUGGGUAUAAUAAUCACUUUGAUUCAAAUGGGAGUUAAUCUUCCAGAUGAUUGCGUCAUUGACAGAAUUCUCCAAUCACUGCCACCAAGCUACAAGAGCUUCAUGAUGAACUAUAAUAUGCAAGGGAUGAAUAAGACUAUUUCCGAGCUCUUCGCAAUGCUGAAGGCUGCGAAGGUAGAAAUCAAAAAGGAGCAUCAAGUGUUGAUGGUCAACAAGACCACUAGUUUCAAGAAAAAGGGCAAAGGGAAGAAGAAGGGGAACUUCAGGAAGAACGGCAAGCAGGUUGCUGCUCAAGAGAAGAAACCCAAGUCUGGACCUAAGCCUGAAACUGAGUGCUUCUACUGCAAGCAGGCUGGUCACUGGAAGCGGAAGUGCCCCAAGUAUUUGGCGGAUAAGAAGGAUGGCAAGGUGAACAAAGGUAUAUGUGAUAUACAUGUUAUUGAUGUGUACCUUACUAAUGCUCGCAAUAGCACCUGGGUAUUUGAUACUGGUUCUGUUGCUAAUAUUUGCAACUCGAAACAGGGACUACGAAUUAAGCGAAGAUUGGCUAAGGACGAGGUGACGAUGCGUGUGGGAAACGGUUCCAAAGUCGAUGUGAUCGCGGUCGGCACGCUACCUCUACAUCUACCUUCGGGAUUAAUAUUAGACCUAAAUAAUUGUUAUUUGGUGCCAGCGUUAUGCAUGAACAUUAUAUCUGGAUCUUGUUUGAUGCGAGACGGUUAUUCAUUUAAAUCAGAAAAUAAUGGUUGUUCUAUUUAUAUGAGUAAUAUCUUUUAUGAUCAUGCACCCUUGAAGAAUGGUCUAUUCUUAUUGAAUCUCGAUAGUAGUGACACACAUAUUCAUAAUGUUGAAGCCAAAAGAUGCAGAGUUGAUAAUCAUAGUGCAACUUAUUUGUGGCACUGCCGUUUAGGUCAUAUCGGUGUAAAGCGCAUGAAGAAACUCCAUACUGAUGUACUUUUGGAACCACUUGAUUAUGAAUCACUGGGUACUUGCGAGCCGUGCCUCAUGGGCAAGAUGACUAAAACGCCGUUCUCCGGUACUAUGGAGAGAGCAACAUAUUUGUUGGAAAUCAUACAUACAGAUGUAUGUGGUCCGAUGAAUAUUGAGGCUCGUGGCGGAUAUCGUUAUUUUCUCACCUUCACAGAUGACUUAAGCAGAUAUGGGUAUAUCUACUUAAUGAAACAUAAGUCUGAAACGUUUGAAAAGUUCAAAGAAUUUCAGAGUGAAGUUGAAAAUCAUCGUAACAAGAAAAUUAAGUUUCUACCAUCUGAUCGUGGAGGAGAAUAUUUGAGUUACGAGUUUGGUAUACAUUUGAAACAAUGCGGAAUAGUUUCGCA
rnacentral:lncRNA from 1 species